CCUACGGGUGGCAGCAGUGAGGAAUAUUGGUCAAUGGGCGCGAGCCUGAACCAGCCAAGUCGCGUGAGGGAGGACGGCCCUACGGGUUGUAAACCUCUUUUGCCGGGGAGCAACGGGCGUCACGUGUGGCGCCACUAAGAGUACCCGGAGAAAAAGCAUCGGCUAACUCCGUGCCAGCAGCCGCGGUAGUACGGAGGAUGCGAGCGUUAUCCGGAUUGAUUGGUUUAAAGGGGUGCGUAGGCGGAUCGUGAGUUCAGUGGUCAAAUUGAGGGGCUCAACCCCUGCCCGCCAUUGAAACUGGAGCUCUUGAGUGGAAGAGAAGUAUGCGGAAUGCGUGGUGGAGCGGUGAAAUGCAUAGAUAUCACGCAGAACCGCGAUUGCGAAGGCAGCAUGCCGGCUUCCGACUGACGCUGAAGCACGAAAGCGUGGGGAUCGAACAGGAUUAGAUACCCGAGUAGUC
rnacentral:rRNA from 1 species